rnacentral:snRNA from 1 species
AUUACUUCUUGAAGCCUUCUGGCUUUGAUCAUGUGUAGUAUCUGUUCUAGAAAGCUUAAUCUCUUUCUGAUAUCUCAUGUAGAUAUCAUUAACGAUUAAACUAAUUUCUUUAGAGGGCAGAGAACAAUAUGGUUAGUGCUUGCAUUGACCCGUUCUCUCAUGCAUUUGCUCUGUAUUGCACUAUUUCAGAGAUUCUAAGGUGCACCUCUU